AGCAGUCUCAUUGUACUUUCUUAAAUGUUUGACUUUCCUUUUAUCCUCAUCAUCUUCAUCUCUUGACCUCUUUUGUGAGGGACCAGGUACUACAUUUUCAUAACUGUUGUCACUGUCACUGUCAUCGUUAUUGACGUCAAUUUGAGGCUGGUGGUUGUCAUCAUCUUCAUCUGUCAGUCUCAUUGUACUUUCUUAAAUGUUUGACUUUCCUUUUAUCCUCAUCAUCUUCAUCUCUUGACCUCUUUUGUGAGGGACCAGGUACUACAUUUUCAUA